CUCAGUGUUCUCCAUCACUCCUCACAGAGUCACCGCUGUGCUCUCAUGUUUUGUUCUCCAGCCAAAUGAUGUUUGGUGCAGGACGCUGAAACACACACACACACACACACGGUUUCAUACUGCUCAGUGUGUGUGUGUUUGUGUGUGUUGGACUUUGUGAGCAGGUAGUGUCUGUUUAAAUAACUGAUAGCAGGUGUCCACCAGAUACAGCAGGCUCUCUGCUGCACGCACACACACACACACACACACACACACGUGCGCGCUGAGCGGUGUUUGGUAGGUCCUGGCCUCAGGGAAACUUUGGCCACACUCGUUCUCUGUAUCUGCAAACCUACAUUAGGGGUUAUGAGCUGUGAUAACAGGCACACACACAGACAGACAGAGAGAGACACACACACACGCACACACACACCGGCUGGUGUCGAUGGAGGCGUCACGUCUCGCUUCAGAGAGCGCUGCUGCAGGCCUGGUCACAACUGUAAUGAGACGAUGGCAACGAUCAAUGGCGAGAGAGGAGCGCUUGUUGUGAUAACAGCAUCGUUUUUUUCUGAGUCAGUAAGCUGUGAAGUUCCUGUCGCACAUGCUCAGUGUGUCCUCUCUCUAUUUGGGUUUACUCAGGGAUGUAACCACACUGGUCCACACACAGAAAAAGAAACUCUGGUGUUGAAACAAAGACUUUCCUGAUGCACUGUAAAGUCUUUAAGUGAGAUGAGCA